rnacentral:rRNA from 1 species
UACGGGGGGAGCAAGCGUUGUUCGGAUUUACUGGGCGUAAAGGGCGCGUAGGCGGUCGUGACAAGUCACUUGUGAAAUCUCCGGGCUUAACUCGGAACGGUCAAGUGAUACUGUCGGACUAGAGUACAGAAGGGGCAACUGGAAUUCUCGGUGUAGCGGUGAAAUGCGUAGAUAUCUGGAGGAACACCGGUGGCGAAGGCGGCAUCCUGGACCGACGACUGACGCUGAGGAGCGAAAGCCAGGGGAGCAACGGG